rnacentral:rRNA from 1 species
UACGUAGGGUGCGAGCGUUGUCCGGAAUUAUUGGGCGUAAAGAGCUUGUAGGCGGUUUGUCGCGUCUGCCGUGAAAAUCCGGGGCUCAACCCCGGACUUGCGGUGGGUACGGGCAGACUAGAGUGUGGUAGGGGAGACUGGAAUUCCUGGUGUAGCGGUGAAAUGCGUAGAUAUCCGGAGGAAUACCAAAGGCGAAGGCAGUGUCCUGGAGGGUGACUGACGCUGAGGCGCGAAAGCUAGGGGAGCGAACAGG